AAAAAAGAUUGAGGAAGUGCACAGAGAUGCUGCACAAGAACUACAGGCACAGUCUAGUAGGCUGGCCCGUGGUCCUGGAAUCAAUCCAUCAGCUAGAAGGGGGCCUCCUAUGGAAUUCAGUCCAAGAGGAUCGACUAUGUUAUCUUCACCUAAUGCCCACAUGAAAUUAACUCCUCAAAACUAUGAAAAACUAUUCGAGCAAAGGCACCAAGCUGACAGGAAGAAUGAAGUGGGUAAAGUGAGUGAUGAAGAGCAGGUCAAGCAAAGGCAGUUAAAGGCUAUAGUGAACAAGUUAACUCCUCAAAACUUUGAAAAACUAUUCGAGCAAGUGAAAGCUGUUAAUAUAGAUAAUGCGACUACUCUAACUGGUGUCAUUUCACAUAUCUUUGACAAGGCUCUUAUGGAGCCUACUCUCUGUGAGAUGUAUGCUAACUUCUGUUUUUAUCUUGCCGGAGAGUUGCCUGAUUUCAGUGAAGACAAUGAAAAGAUAACUUUUAGGAGAUUGCUUUUGAACAAGUGCCAGGAGGAAUUUGAGAGGGGAGAAAGAGAGCAAGAGGAGGCCAAUAAGGCUGAUGAGGAGGGUCAGGUAAAACAGUCUGAAGAAGAAAGAGAGGAGAAAAGAAUCAAGGGGCGAAGAAGAAUGUUGGGUAACAUUAGCUUGAUUGGGGAGCUAUACAAAAAGAGAAUGUUGAUCGAGAGAGUAAUGCACGAAUGCAUUAAAAAGAUGUUAGGUCAGCAACAGACUCCAGAUGAGGGCGAUAUUGAAGCUUUGUGCAAACUAAUGAGCACAAUUGGGGAGAUGAUUGAUCAUCCGAAAGCCAAGGAGCACAUGGAUGCAUAUUUUGAAAGGAUGAAAAGCUUAUCGAAUAACUUGAAAUUAUCUUCUAGGGUUAGGUUCAUGUUGAAGGAUGCAAUUGAUUUGAGAAAGAAUAAAUGGCAGCAGAGGAGCAAAGUUGAAGGACCAAAAAAGAUUGAGGAAGUGCACAGAGAUGCUGCACAAGAACUACAGGCACAGUCUAGUAGGCUGGCGCGUGGUCCUGGAAUCAAUCCAUCAGCUAGAAGGGGGCCUCGUAUGGAAUUCAGUCCAAGAGGAUCGACUAUGUUAUCUUCACCUAAUGCCCACAUGAAAUUAACUCCUCAAAACUAUGAAAAACUAUUCGAGCAAAGGCACCAAGCUGACAGGAAGAAUGAAGUGGGUAAAGUGAGUGAUGAAGAGCAGGUCAAGCAAAGGCAGUUAAAGGCUAUAGUGAACAAGUUAACUCCUCAAAACUUUGAAAAACUAUUCGAGCAAGUGAAAGCUGUUAAUAUAGAUAAUGCGACUACUCUAACUGGUGUCAUUUCACAUAUCUUUGACAAGGCUCUUAUGGAGCCUACUCUCUGUGAGAUGUAUGCUAACUUCUGUUUUUAUCUUGCCGGAGAGUUGCCUGAUUUCAGUGAAGACAAUGAAAAGAUAACUUUUAGGAGAUUGCUUUUGAACAAGUGCCAGGAGGAAUUUGAGAGGGGAGAAAGAGAGCAAGAGGAGGCCAAUAAGGCCGAUGAGGAGGGUCAGGUAAAACAGUCUGAAGAAGAAAGAGAGGAGAAAAGAAUCAAAGGGCGAAGACGAAUGUGGGGUAACAUUAGAUUAAUUGGGGAGCUAUACAAAAAGAAAAUGUUGACUGAGAGAAUUAUGCACGAAUGCAUUAAAAAGAUGUUAGGUCAGCAACAGACUCCAGAUGAGGAAGAUAUUGAAGCUUUGUGCAAACUAAUGAGCACAAUUGGGGAGAUGAUUGAUCAUCCGAAAGCCAAGGAGCACAUGGAUGCAUAUUUUGAAAGGAUGAAAAGCUUAUCGAAUAACAUGAAAUUAUCUUCUAGGGUUAGGUUCAUGUUGAAGGAUGCAAUUGAUUUGAGAAAGAGUAAAUGGCAGCAGAGGAGCAAAGUUGAAGGACCAAAAAAGAUUGAGGAAGUGCACAGAGAUGCUGCACAAGAACUACAGGCACAAUCUAGUAGGCUGGCCCGUGGUCCUGGAAUCAAUCCAUCAGCUAGAAGGCGGCCUCGUAUGGAAUUCAGUCCAAGAGGAUCGACUAUGUUAUCUUCACCUAAUGCCCACAUGAAAUUAACUCCUCAAAACUAUGAAAAACUAUUCGAGCAAAGGCACCAAGCUGACAGGAAGAAUGAAGUGGGUAAAGUGAGUGAUGAAGAGCAGGUCAAGCAAAGGCAGUUAAAGGCUAUAGUGAACAAGUUAACUCCUCAAAACUUUGAAAAACUAUUCGAGCAAGUGAAAGCUGUUAAUAUAGAUAAUGCGACUACUCUAACUGGUGUCAUUUCACAUAUCUUUGACAAGGCUCUUAUGGAGCCUACUCUCUGUGAGAUGUAUGCUAACUUCUGUUUUUAUCUUGCCGGAGAGUUGCCUGAUUUCAGUGAAGACAAUGAAAAGAUAACUUUUAGGAGAUUGCUUUUGAACAAGUGCCAGGAGGAAUUUGAGAGGGGAGAAAGAGAGCAAGAGGAGGCCAAUAAGGCCGAUGAGGAGGGUCAGGUAAAACAGUCUGAAGAAGAAAGAGAGGAGAAAAGAAUCAAAGGGCGAAGACGAAUGUGGGGUAACAUUAGAUUAAUUGGGGAGCUAUACAAAAAGAAAAUGUUGACUGAGAGAAUUAUGCACGAAUGCAUUAAAAAGAUGUUAGGUCAGCAACAGACUCCAGAUGAGGAAGAUAUUGAAGCUUUGUGCAAACUAAUGAGCACAAUUGGGGAGAUGAUUGAUCAUCCGAAAGCCAAGGAGCACAUGGAUGCAUAUUUUGAAAGGAUGAAAAGCUUAUCGAAUAACUUGAAAUUAUCUUCUAGGGUUAGGUUCAUGUUGAAGGAUGCAAUUGAUUUGAGAAAGAAUAAAUGGCAGCAGAGGAGCAAAGUUGAAGGACCAAAAAAGAUUGAGGAAGUGCACAGAGAUGCUGCACAAGAACUACAGGCACAAUCUAGUAGGCUGGCCCGUGGUCCUGGAAUCAAUCCAUCAGCUAGAAGGCGGCCUCGUAUGGAAUUCAGUCCAAGAGGAUCGACUAUGUUUUCUUCAUCUAAUGCCCAUAUGGGUGGUUUCCGUGGGAUGCCUGCUCAGGUUCGUGGUUAUGGCAGUCAGGAUGUCCGUACAGAUGAAAGACAUUCUUAUGAGAGUAGGACCUUGUCAGUUCCCUUGACACAAAGACCAAUUGGUGAUG
rnacentral:lncRNA from 1 species